rnacentral:rRNA from 1 species
CACGCUGUAAACGAUGGAUACUAGACGUGGUGGGAUUUGACCCCUGCCGUGUCGAAGUUAACACGAUAAGUAUCCCGCCUGGGAAGUACGGUCGCAAGACUAAAACUCAAAGGAAUUGACGGGGGCCCGCACAAGCGGUGGAUCAUGUGGUUUAAUUCGAAGCAACGCGAAGAACCUUACCUGGACUUGACAUCCUCUGAAUGCGGUAGAGAUAUCGUAGGCUCGCAAGAGACAGAGAGACAGGUGC